rnacentral:rRNA from 1 species
GAUGAACGCUGGCGGUCUGCUUAACACAUGCAAGUCGAACGCGAGUAGAAAUACUUGAGUGGCGGACGGGUGAGUAACGCGUGAGAAUCUGCCUUCUGGUCGGGGACAACCACUGGAAACGGUGGCUAAUACCGGAUAUGCCUACGGGUGAAAGAUUAAUUGCCAGAAGAAGAGCUCGCGUCUGAUUAGCUAGUUGGAGAGGUAAAGGCUCACCAAGGCAUCGAUCAGUAGCUGGUCUGAGAGGACGAUCAGCCACACUGGGACUGAGACACGGCCCAGACUCCUACGGGAGGCAGCAGUGGGGAAUUUUCCGCAAUGGGCGAAAGCCUGACGGAGCAAGACCGCGUGAGGGAGGAAGGCUCUUGGGUUGUAAACCCCUUUUGUCAGGGAAGAAGAAAGUGACGGUACCUGAAGAAUCAGCAUCGGCUAACUCCGUGCCAGCAGCCGCGGUAAUACGGAGGAUGCAAGCGUUAUCCGGAAUUAUUGGGCGUCAAGCGUCCGCAGGUGGUCAAUCAAGUCUGCUGUCAAAGCACGUGGCUUAACCACGAAAAGGCAGUGGAAACUGAAGGACUAGAGUGCUCAAGGGGUAGAGGGAAUUCUCGGUGUAGCGGUGAAAUGCGUAGAGAUCGGGAAGACAUCGGUGGCGAAAGCGCUCUACUGGAGAGCAACUGACACUCAGGGACGAAAGCUAGGGGAGCGAAAGGAUUAGAUACCCCUGUAGUCCUAGCCGUAAACGAUGGAUACUAGGCGUUGCCCG